GACGAACGCUGGCGGCGUGCUUAACACAUGCAAGUCGAGCGGUAAGGCCCUUUCGGGGGUACACGAGCGGCGAACGGGUGAGUAACACGUGGGUGACCUGCCCUCAGCUCUGGGAUAAGCCUGGGGAACCGGGUCUAAUACUGGAUAUGACUCCAUGACGCAUGUUGUGGGGUGGAAAGCCUUGUGCGGCUGAGGAUGGGCCCGCGGCCUAUCAGCUUGUUGGUGGGGUGANGGCCUACCAAGGCGACGACGGGUAGCCGGCCUGAGAGGGCGACCGGCCACACUGGGACUGAGACACGGCCCAGACUCCUACGGGAGGCAGCAGUGGGGAAUCUUGCGCAAUGGGCGAAAGCCUGACGCAGCGACGCCGCGUGAGGGAUGACGGCCUCGGUU
rnacentral:rRNA from 1 species